rfam:Glycine soja cultivar W05 scaffold443_1, whole genome shotgun sequence.
CUACUUACCUGGACAGGGUCAAUGGGUGAUCAAGAAGGUUCAUGGCCUAAGAUAGUGACUUUCAUUGCACUUUGAACGGGUGCUGUCUUAAGGUCUGUUCAUGUGACAGAGCCUAUGUCAUAAUUUGUGUUAGAAGGGCCUGCGUUCGCGCAUUCCUUGC